UACUGAGCACUUGCUUUCACUAGCAUUAUCUCUUAAUCCAUAAUAUGUUUUUUCUUUUUCUUUUUUAUAAAUGAAGAAACAAAAUUAGAUUGGUUAAAUAACUUGCCUAUUUCUAAAUAAUUGGUCUUACAUAAACUGUUUCUCAAAGAACUUUUAGAUCUGUUUCCUAAUUUUCUCGUGAACUGAAUUUUAUCCCAGAGGAAUCCUGUGAAGGUCUGUUUUAUUCAGCAUAGUUUUACAGGUGAUGAAAAUGAGGAAAGAAAGGUUAAGUAAAUUUUAGUCGUGGAACCCAGGAUGAUAAUGAGUUCUCUUGAUUCUUGCAAUUAUAAUGAAUAGUAAGAAUUUGAGGUAAGAAGAAAUGUAACAGUAUAUUUUAUAUCUCCAGAUAUGCUAUUAUUAGUUAUAAGGAUAAUCUCACAUUUGUUCUAUUCCAGUGGAUUCUAGAUAAAGAUAUGAAGGUCAAAGAGGGGGUAAUGGGAGAAAAUAGGGAAAAGAGGGGAAAGAUUUUUUUCUAAAAAAAGGAGAAAAGUUUGAUUUGUGGAUUUUAAAUAAACUACUGACAUAUUGCUGCCUCGUCUUAAAAACCCACCAAGUAAUUUCAGAAGCUUAUUCAGUACUUAUAUAAAAUUAUUUAUAGCACAAUUCCUUAUAAUUCCCAUAUUAUCAGAUAACUGGUAUAGUAUAAUUCUCAAAUGCCAAAACAAUGAGAAAUUUAUCUUUUGGGAACACUUUUUAGAUGACAGAAACGCAAGAUUCAUUACCUUCUUUUCAUUUGCAUUUUUUUAAGUUCCUUGUUUUUCUAAGUGUGGCUCAUGGCGGAUCUGUACUUCCUGGCAGCUUAUCAGCAAUGCAGAAACUCAAGCCUAAUCUACACCUGAAAAAUACGCGCUUUAUCAAGAUUUAAUGCCUGCUUCUAAAACCUAAAUGCCUUUCUACCACCUCCUUAUCCAAAUACCUGACUUGGAUCGAUUCUUCCCCAUCACUUUCCUCCCCCCUAUUCGAGGGACAAUGCCAGUGGAUCAGAGCACUCUUUUCCUCACGGUGCCAAGAUGUAACCUCAGAAUCCUUCUAAGUAAAGGGUAUGUCAAGAGAGACGUGAGCUCUAAGAUGAAAGCACUGCUUAAGAACAUGGGAGAAGGAAAAGACAAUUCCGAUAACAUGGGAGUGCAUAAAGAAAAUCAUAUAAAUGAAAACAACGGAAACAGGAAGUACCAUUUUACAUCUCAUUAAAAGGUAGCCUCAUUUGUGCUAAUUUCCAGCUUUGAAUACCAGAAGGUGAUGGUGACCCAAGAUGGCUCAGGGCAGUAAGUUCUUUAGUCCCCUUGGAGAAAUGUCAAACUGUUUAAAAUAAAGAGUGAGAAAGGACUGUGAAGAAAAUCUGCAAGUCACAAUCAGGUUGAGCAAGUGUAUAAAGAAGAACCAGGAUUUCUGAAUCUCAAACAGGUACUUCUGCCACUUUGUAAACUCUACUUUAUAAAAACAGUUUUACCCCAGAAGGAUUUCUCCCAUGUCCUAGAAGAUAAAGGCUAUCACUUCCUGCCUCCCCCCAAAUAAGUUUCAAAUUUACAUUCAACAUCAAAGACCAUAAAGUAGGUUCCAUUAUUUUGAAGAUUCUUUCAGAGACAUAAAGACUGUGAACAAUUAUCUCAUACAUCUUUUUCAAUUUUCAGCAACUUUCACAGUGCUUAUACUGGGCACUAAAUAUGUUUGUUGAAUGGAUGGAUGAGUGAGUGCCUGUAUAUAAGGAAACACAUCAGAAAAUAGAAUGAAUAAUUAGCCUAUUUUUUUGAGAAUGGCUCAAAUCAAGACUCCCAAAUAUAUUUUUAGCUGGAAUGGAAUAUUAUUAGGAAUGUAUUUGAGAUACAUUUUGUAGUUCUUAAGAAAAAAUAUCCUUUAGAGGUUACUUCAGAGAGCUUUGAAAUUAGUAUGUGUUCUGCACAGAAGUUGUUUGUGUGACUUGUCAUGUAUUUCUGCCCAGAGCUGCACAUAGACAAUCAGGGGGCACUUGGUUGGUUUGUACUCUGUAUCUGGCCUUGGGAUCAGAACUGGCCCUUCUGUUCCUGAUAUCAAGAGGGAUUAACUUGUCAUCACCUCCUUGAGCCAGACCAGGCUGGCCCCGUGGGAUGCAUCAGGGAGGGAAGAGAAAUGUGCACAUGCCCAGGCUCCUAAGACUGUGAGAUACGUAAGAGAAACAGAGAGAAAUUAAAAAAAAAAAAAAUCUAGUUCCCUCAGGACUGCAGUUAGGCAAACUUAA